AUACAUUUGGCAAUAUAGUGUAUAUAUAUAUAUAGAUAUAUAGAUAUAGAUAUAUAUAUAUGUAUGUGUGUAUGUAUGUAUGUAUAUAUAUUCAUAUACAUACAUCGAUCAGCCACAACAUUAAAACUACCUGCCUAAUAUUGUGUAGGUCCCACCUCAUGCUGCCAAAACAGUGCCAACCCGCAUCUCAGAAUAGCAUUCUGAGAUAUUAUACUUCUCACCACAGUUGUACAGAGCGGUUAUCCGAGUUACCGUAGACUUUGUCAGUUCAAACCAGUCUGGCUAUUCUCCGUUGACCACUCUCAUCAACAAGGCGCUUCCAUCCACAGAACUGCCCCUCACUGGAUGUUUUUUGUUUUUGGCACCAUUCUGAGUAAAUUCUAGAGGCUGUUGUGCGUGAAAAUCCCAGGAGAUCAGCAGUUACAGAAAUACUCAAACCAGCCCAUUAUCAUCAUCAUUUUAUUUAUAAAGCACAAUUUAAAAACAACAACAGUUGACCAAUGUGCUGUACAAUGUGUUCGCAAGAACUUUUUAAAUAUAAUAAAACAUAAUAAUAUAGACCCAAAGACAUAAAAUAAUAAACAACAGAGAACAUCACAAGUUGUAGGCUAGAGAGAAAAGAUGCAUUUUUAACUUAGAUUUAAAAAUAUGUAGUGGAGCAGUUCUGAUCGAAGACGGUAAGCUGUUCCAAAGUUUAGGUGUGGCUAUGGCGAACGCUCGAUAACCCCUAGAUUUUACCUUCGACUUAGGGACAGUUAAUAAACUCUGGUUGGCGGAUCUAAGAUCUCUUCCUGGACAGUGUUCACACAAAAGGUUGGAGAGGUAGGCAGGGGCUCGGCCAUUUAAGGAUUUAAAUACAAGCAAGAGCACUUUAAAAUCAAUUCUAGAACGGACAGGAAGCCAAUGUAAAGACACUAAAACAGGAGUAAUAUGUUCACAUUUACGAACACCCGUUAAAACUUUCGCAGCUGCAUUUUGAACCAUCUGUAAUAUAGAUAUGUUAGAAUUGUUUAUUCCCAAAUAUAGGGAAUUACAAUAGUCCAGUCUAGAGGUGAUAAAAGCAUGUAUCGCUGUUUCGAAGUGCUUGAUGGACAGAAAGGACUUCACUUUAGCCAGUACUUUAGCCAGAGUUAAUCUGCUUGUCAAAUUUAAGGACAUUAUCAAAAAGACCCCCAAAUUUUUCAAACUAUUUUUAACCGAAGAGGAUAAAACACCAAAAUUUAAAUGAGAAGUUUUAGGGGCUUCUGAAGAGCCAAACAUGAUGAUGUCACUUUCAUUUAAAUUUAAGAAACUUAAAGAUAUCCAGGCCUUAACAUCAGAAAGGCUAAGAGAGUCUAAGCCAUUCUGUGGACGGAAAUGCCUUGUUAAUGAGAGAGGUCAACAGAGAGAAAGUUACAUGAUUGUAUGCCUCGGUCCUUCUCCCUAUGGGUAUGAGGCCGUGCCGGUUAGCACUGGGGGCGAUUUGGAGACAUCAAUGGGACAACCUCCGCCGGGUAUCCCCCCCACAGACCUCCGAUUCCCCAGCACGCUCGCUCGGCCCGGUCGGGCGCUCGGACGAGACCGCCGACUCGUCUCAGGGCGAGUUGGACCUCUUGUUCAGAGCCUGGGAAGACGACGAGUUAUCGAGCGCAGCAUUGGAGAAGGGGCUCAUCCAGUCGGACGCAGAGGCUUCGACUGGGCUUCCUCCGUGAAAUGGUCGCCCAGGACGACGCGGAAAUGACGGACAUGCUUUCCCGGGCGGCCGCGAGCGUCAGGCUAGAGUGGAACCCUCCACUCUCCCCUGAACCCUCGCGGCUUGACGAUUGGUUCCUGGGCUCGGGGCGCCACCCACGGCCAUGCCCCCUGCCCCCAUUCCUUUCUUCCCGGAAGUGCAUGAGGAGCUGACAAGAUCAUGGGAGGCACCUUUUACUGCCCGGUCCCGGUCUUUCAGCUCCACCGCUCUCACUACCCUCGAUGGUGGAGCGGCCAGGGGGUAUUCGGUUAUCCCCCAGGUGGAUAAGGCGUUUGUGGUGCACUUGUGUCCUCAGAGCACCGCCACCUGGCGCGGGUGCCCGAAGCUCCCAUCCAGGGCCUGUAGGUUUACAUCGUCCCUGACAGCUAAGGCCUACGGUGCCACUGGACAAGCCACCUCCACCCUGCACGCCAUGGCUCUCCUGCAAGUACACCAAGCCAAGGCGCUAAAAGAACUGCACAAGGGUAGUUAUGACCCGAGAUUGAUGCAGGAACUGCGCUCGGCGAACGACCUUGCUCUCCGGGCGACGAAGGUCACGGCGCGGUCUCUCAGGCAGGCGAUGUCCACCCUGGUGGUCCAGGAGCGCCACCUUUGGCUCAACUUGGUUGAGAUGCAAAAGGCUGACAAGGCACGGUUCCUUGACGCCCCCAUCUCCCAGGUUGGCCUGUUUGGCCACACCGUCGAGGACUUUUCCCAGCAGUUCUCAGCGGUGAAGUAGCAGACGGAGGCCAUACAACACAUCCUGCCCCGGCACAGCUCAAGACCCCACACCCCGUCUGCUCAACGCCAAGGGUGUCCUCCUGCAGCAACAACACCAGCUCCGCCACAGCCCGCCCCCGGCGUGGAGCCCAAUGCAGGAAGCAGAUGCCACCCGUCUCACGGCCGGCCGCUGAGAACCCGAGGAAGGCUUCAAAGCGCCCCUGAGACGGGCAACCCAGGGGCGAGGAGACCUGCUUCUCUGGUGUUGGUGAGCAGACCACUCCAUCCCCUGGUGGAGUGCCGGGAGGAGAAUCUUUUGUUUCGUUUUCAUUUAAUUUCGCCACAUGUCCAACCCAAAAGUUCAACAAAAGUGCGGUUUUCUUGUUCCCUGGGUCACAUGUCCCGGUGCGUAUGGCCGUCGUCACGACCACCGUCCACCGUCCCAUUUUUUCAGGUAUGGCGCUCCAGCGGCGGCCCUGUCCACCCAGUUGUGGCACAAACAUGCCCACACGUGAUUGGUUCUGGUGGACUACGGGGACGAGACUCCUCCUCCCCCCUCGUUGGCCAAUCUUAUGCUGGGCGGCAGGAGCCAGGUAACUGCUUAGAUGUCCCUGGACUCAGCACGGCCACGGGCUCGAGUCCCCUCGACGUGGCACCUCGAGCUCCGCCCCGCCGCGAGGCCCCACCUGCCGGUACGUCCGAUGUGAUCAUUCCCUUGGUCCCCUCGACACAGACCCUGCCUGCGGUUUGCCUUCGAAGGCCAGGCGUACCAGUACAAGGUCCUCCCCUUCGGCCUGUCCUUGUCCCCUCACGUCUUCACGAAGGUCACAGAGGCAGCCCUUGCCCCGCUAAGGGAAGUGGGCGUCCGCAUCCUCAACUAUCUCGAUGACUGGCUAAUCCUAGCUCACUCUCGAGAGUUGCUGUGCGCACACAGGGACCUCGUGCUCCGGCACCUCAGCCAACUGGGGCUUUGGGUCAACUGGGAAAAAAGCAAGCUCUCCCCGGUUCAGAGCAUCUCUCUUCUCGGUUUGGAGUUGGACUCAGUCUCAAUGACAGCGCGCCUCACGAACGAGCAUGCGCAGUCGGUGCUGAACUGUCUGAAGGCGUUCAGACGGAGGACAGCGGUUCCACUGAAGCUUUUUCAGAGGCUCCUGGGGCAUAUGGCAUCCUCAGCAGUGGCCACACCACUCAGGUUGAUGCAUAUGAGACCGCUUCAGCACUGGCUUCAGACUCGAGUCCCGAGAUGGGCAUAGCGCUGCGGGACACAUCGCGUAGCCACCAUGAUGAUCUGUUGCCGCCUCUUCAGUCCUUGGACUGACCUUGCAUUUCUACGGGCAGGGGUUUCCCUAGAGCAGGUCUCCAGGCAUGUCGUGGUUACAACAGACGCCUCCAAGACGGGCUGGGGCGCCGUAUACAAUGGGUACACAGCUGCCGGCUCCUGGACUGGCCCGUGGCUGCAUUGGCACAUCAUCUGCCUAGAGUUGUUGGCAGUACUGCUUGCCCUGUGGAGGUUCCGGCUGCUGAUCCAGGGCAAGCACGUGUUGGUCCGGACGGACAACACAGCGACAGUUGUGUACAUCAACCGUCAAAACAGUCUACGCUCCUGUUGCAUGUCACAACUUGCCCGCCGUCUCCUCCUCUGGAGUCAGCAGCGCCUCAAGUCCCUACGAGCCACUCACAUCCCGGGCGACCUCAACACCACAGCGGACGCGCUGUCAUGUCAGGUUACCCUCAGGUGAUCCAGCUGAUUUGGAGUCGAUUCGGUCGAGCACAGGUAGACCUGUUUGCUUCCCGGGAAUCCUCCCACUGCCCACUUUGGUACGCCCUGACCGAGGCACCCCUUGGUAUAGAUGCGCUGGCCCUCUGGACUACGCAAAUACGCAUUUCCCCCAGUGAGCCUACUUGCACAGACCCUGUGCAAGGUCAGGGAGGACGAGGAGCAGAUCAUCCUAGUAGCACCCUACUGGCCCACCCAGAUGUGGUUCUCGGAUCUCACACUCCUCACAACAGCACCCCCUGGCGAAUUCCCCUGAGGAAGGACCUUCUUUCUUAGGGACGGGGCACCAUCUAGCAUCCGCAACCAGACCUCUGGAAUCUCCACGUCUGGCCCCCGGUUGGGACGCGGAAGACCUAAGUGGCCUACCACCCACGGUGGUAGACACGAUCACUCAGGCUAGGGCUACGAGGCGCCUGUAUGCCUUGAAGUGGCGUCUGUUCGCUAAAUGGGGUUCUUCCCGACGCGAAGACCCCCAGAGAUGCGCUGUCGGAUCGGUGCUUUCAUUCCUGCAGGAGAGGCUGGAGGGGCGGCUGUCCUCCACAUUGAAGGUGUAUGUAGCCGCAAUUUCGGCUCAUCACAAUGCAGUAGAUGGUAAGUACUUGGGGAAGCGCGACUUGAUCAUCAGGUUCCUGAGAGGAGCUAGGAGGUUGAAUUCCUCCAGACCGCGCCUCGUCCCCUCGUGGGACCUCUCUGUAGUCCUCCGGGGUCUACGGGGAGCUCCCUUUGAGCCCUUGGAGUCAGCUGAACUUAAGGCACUCUCUUUGAAGACUGAGACCCUGAUCGGUCUGUUUGCCUGCCGAUUUGGAUUGUUUGCUUGUGUUCAUAAUAAACUUCCAGCACAUGGAUCCUAACACCGUCUCCAUGGCCAGUUCAUUACACAUACUGUUUCCUUACGUAUAAUGGUGGAGGUACACGGGUACUUUAACCCAUCCCGUGUACAUUUAUACUACCAAGUUUCCCUACAUAUAAUGGUGGUCGAAUGCAUCCAAGAUUCGUAAACAAAUUAAUUAAUUUAUACAAUCCAAUUUCCCUACAUAUACUGGUGUUGGAAUGCGUGCAAAAAUCUAAAUGAGUUAUUUGUCGAUUUAUACACAGUCUUUCUUUUCUUUGAAUCCAGAAACAGAACAGAGAAACUACAGAAGCUCCGCGUCUGUGACGUAUAUAUUAUGCGACGGUUUGUUGUCAUGACAACGAGAAAGCUAGAGCUCAUAUUUACCUCCGUUAUAAGUUAAAGGCUGAACGCCGCCUUCAGCGCUCAUGAAAAGAGCACAGAAAUGUAACUGAACUAUCUGAUGAAACAAACCCAGACACACUUUUAUGGAAUUAAGUUCCAGUUAAACUAAGAAAGGAGUUUGAAAUUUCCCCUGCCAGGACGAAGAAACCUCCUCGUAGUGCGGUAAGGAAAAGAUACGAGCGAUGUUCCUCGAUCUCUUUCUAAAAGGCCUUAUUUAAUAGCUAGAUUGAUGACAUUGCGAUGUUCCAGUGCAUUCAACUAGACUAUCUUAACUGUCUGUGGUUUAAUCACUGAAGUAGAUGUUCGCAUUUUCGUGUCUACUCGCUGAGCGAAUUUGAAAAUAACUUGUGUAAUGUGCAUCAUUGUCCGAGUGUAAUUUUGAAUGGGAGUGUAAAUGUUUGAUCACGCUAGAGAUUUGCAGUAAAUCUGUUUAACUUCAGUGGAAAGACCCUGUUGCGUAUCCAGAAACUGACACAAAAUCCGCUCUGAUCAAAUUCCGUUGUUACUGAAACAUCUGCAGUGAACCUGCCGCUUAAGUAUAGACUAAUCUCGCUCCGAAACGAGUCGAAAGUAUAUGCGCCACUCCGUAAAACAAUUACGUAAAUUGUCUGUGACUUGCAUUGCUGAGAGUUGCUCUUUAAAAUAACUAGAGUGAUAAUACCACGCUGCAAACUGCUAAGUGUGCUGUUUAUUUGUGCAUUAAGGUUCGUCUUCAAUGCAUUGAGAUCACAAGCGCCAUGUUGAGCUACGAGCUGGACGUGACGGCUAUGAGUUGUGCAUUGUGGAACGCGCUGACGUUCAUAGGAAUCGAUGAAACUGUGUUUCAGAAGUACUAGAAAAAGAUCAUAAAUCACUAGUGUUGGUUGCUAUGACGACGAAAGUUCACGGGAAGUCCUAAAGAGAGACUUCCGGGGCAACUAACCGCGCAUGCGCAACCUACCGACGCCAUAUUGUCAACACAGCACAGCUAGCUAAUAGCAUAGCACAGCUAAACUUACAAGUUAGCGGUCUUUCAUUGUAAGUAUAUACUAAACCCUAGCAUCAAAAGCUAGCAGUCAGCAUCCAGCGGCCUGUUACAGUUAAAUACAGAUUGUGUUUGAACAAACAUUAACCAAUUUAACCCUUUAUCUUCUUAUAAAAGGUUUCUUUAAACACAUUUUGUCUCUUAUGCAUAUUAUUCAAUUUCCUACCUUCCAUUAUCUCAUAACACAAAUUACAGUCUCUCAAUGAGCAAUUGAGUUGAAGUUAAUUUAAGCUGAGCUUGGAGAGCUGAUUAAAUUGAUAUUUUCUUCAUGUUUCAUUAAUUUCCAUUUUUAUCAAUUUCUUAUCAAAGCUGAAGUACUUGAUAAUAAUAAGUCUGAAACAGUGUAAGUUUACAGGACUUACGGCUGCCUCUCAUUCUUAUUUAUUAUCUACCACCCAUUAGUUCCCAGCUUAUGUUUAAUUACUUAUUGGCUGUUUUAUUUAAUUUCACUUGUGUGUUGGGCACUGAGCUGAUUCUGUUCUAUGUGGAGGGCCCCCACUCUAGACAUAAUCAACACAAUCUCCUGGCCAUACAGAAUAAGACUUCCCCAUUGUGGAAUUUUAAAUUGAUAAAAUCCCUCCAAUAAAAUUCUGUUACACAAUCACAAUCAAUGAGCACCAAGCCUCAAUCAGCAUCCCUGUUAUUGCUAUUAAGCAUAAUGACAGAAUAUUUAUUGGUGGAUUUUGUUCAUUUAGUCUUUGAUUAUUUUCCAUUUCAUUUUAAAUUUUCUGUCUCCCUCUAACUUUUCUCUCUUUACCGUUUACAGUCUAGAGACAAAGCCUACGGAACCACAGAUAAUUCUGGUUAAAAUAUUUGUCAUCAUCCAAAUUCCGGCAUCCAAAUGCAGCCACGUCCGGAAAUAAAUUGCAGAGAGAAGCACCAGGUAACUGUUACCGCCCCCCGAGCGUGCCUUUGAGGCAUCUGUGGUAAGCAGUUCAACUGUACCGCAUAAACAGGUGUAUGGUGUCAGUCCAGCAUCCAUCCUGAUUCUACUGGACCUUUCUGCAGCCUUUGACACAGUCAACCAUCAGAUCUUACUCUCCACCUUGUCCUCGCUGGGCAUCACAGGAACUGUGCUUGACUGGUUUAAUUCCUAUCUCUCAGGUAGGUCCUUCAAGGUAGCUUGGAGAGGUGAGGUAUCCAAGCAACAUCAGCUACUUACUGGGGUACCUCAGGGAUCAGUGCUUGGGCCACUUCUCUUCUCUAUAUACACAACAUCACUGGGACCCAUCAUUCAGGCACAUGGUUUCUCUUAACACUGCCACGCUGAUGACAUGCAACUCUACUUGUCUUUCCAGCCCAAUGACACCACAGUGACUGCUCGAAUCUCUGCCUGCCUUGCAGACAUCUUGGCAUGGAUGAAGGAACACCACCAGCAACUCAACUCAGCCAAGACAGAACUCCUUGUCUUUCCAGCCAACCCUGCUGUUGAACACAACAUCACCGUGCAGCUGGGUGCAACUACAGUAACGCCUUCCAAAACGGUCAGAAAUCUAGGGGUAACCAACGAUAACAAACUAAAUUUCACAGACCACAUCUCAAAGACUGCAAGAUCAUGUAGAUUUACACUCUACAAAAUCAGGAAGACCCUUCCUCUCUGAACAUGCCACACAACUGCUUGUUCAGUCACUUGUCAUAACUAGACUGGACUACUGUAACACUCUCAUUGCAGGCCUCCCUGCAUGUGCAAUUAGACCCCUGCAAAUGAUCCAGAAUACAGCACCACGUCUGGUCUUUAAUGAACCAAAGAGAGCGCAUGUUACACCACUCCAUGUCUCUUUUCACUGGCUGCCGGUUGAUGCACGUAUCAAUUUCAAGGAUCUUAUGCUGGCAUACAGAACAGUCACUGGGUCUGCUCCAGCAUACCUAAAAUAAUUUCUGCAGAGCUACGCGUCCACUAGAAGCCUGUGGUCGGCUAAGGAACAUCGCCUUGUACCAACACAAAGAGGCACCAAAACACUUUCCUGGACUUUCAGCUUCAUCAUACCACAUUGGUGGAAUGUCCUUCCCAACUCCAUUCGUGAAGCUGACUCACUUUCUGUCUUCAAAAAAUGACUAAAAACACAUUUUUUCCAUGAGCACUUAACCAGUCACAAAAAAAUAAAUAAAAAUAAAUUCUUGUAGCACUUUAAUCUGUUUUGAAUACUAUUCUGAUGCUAGUGAAACUUUGUAAAAUGGCACUUUUCUUACCACUGUCUCCUUAAGAUGAUUUGCUUAUGUUUUCCUCUUUCGUAAGUCGCUUUUAUCCAAAGUGUCUGCCAAAUGAAUAAAUGUAAAUGUAAAUGCUACAGAA